rnacentral:rRNA from 1 species
GGAGGGUGCGAGCGUUAAUCGGAAUGACUAGGCGUAAAGGGCAUGUAGGCGGAUAAUUAAGUUAGGUGUGAAAGCCCUGGGCUCAACCUAGGAAUUGCACUUAAAACUGGUUAACUAGAGUAUUGUAGAGGAAGGUAGAAUUCCACGUGUAGCGGUGAAAUGCGUAGAGAUGUGGAGGAAUACCGCUGGCGAAGGCGGCCUUCUGGACAGAUACUGACGCUGAGAUGCGAAAGCGUGGGAGCAAACAGGAUUAGAUACCCUGGUAGUCCACGCUGUAAACGAUGUCGAUUUGGAGUUUGUUGCCUAGAGUGAUGGGCUCCGAAGCUAACGCGAUAAAUCGACCGCCUGGGGAGUACGGCCGCAAGGUUA